UGCUGAAACCGUCUUAUUGAAGCAUCUCAGUGGAAGCAGGUUUUGUUCUCUCUUCACAGCAAAAUUUCCAGUGUUGUUUAGUGUUGUUUUUAUGGUGUUAAUUUUCCAGUGUUGAAAAGUGUUAAUUGUGGUGUUGAUUUGAAGAACAUCAACACUUACAGUGUAAACCAGUGUUCAGAAUCAGUGUUAUUUCAGCGAGUUGACUAAUUGACACUGGAGAUGAGAUGAUCCUAUUUCCGUUUGGAUUAAUGGCGGACGAGUACGAGGAGCGGACAGUGCUCAAACAGACCGCGCUGACACGAGGCCAGUUUGCAAACUAAGCUGUCGUCAUGCCGGUGAAAGUUCAAUAUCAUGGUGCAUUCCAAGAUUUUCUAAAUGAAGUUAAGUGCUGUGGCUUUGACUAACUAAUUAAAGCCAGUCAUAUAGCAACUGUGCUUAAAAUCCACAGGGCUUGUUUCCAGCUUUGUUAUUUGAGUUUGAGAGAAAAAAAAAAAAAAAAGUCUAUUUAUGCUAUUGUUAAAAUUGUUUCAUUUAAAAGACAGACACUGAUGUGGAAGAGGACACAUUGAAGUCAUUAAAAUUUAAAAUUAAGAUGUCUGGUGGUAAUCCUGAUGGUAUUUGGUAUUUGAAACAAUGUAUUGUGGAAAAAAAAAAAAAAAAAAGCGCUACACAAAGGCAUUCUUUUAAGGUCUCCAUAAUAUGAUGGUGUAAAUGUUUUCUCUUAAGCCCUGUAUGAAUUAAGACGUUUAUGGACAUGAAACAUUAAAUUGUUUUACUUUUCACUCUUAGUCACACACAAGAUCCUCAACCUCCAGCACAUGUACUCAUUCUUUGUCUGACCAUAAAGAGACAGCAGUGCAAAACCAGCUAACAAAGGCCAGCAACAGAUUUAGCACAGAUGUUAUGGCAAACAGAUUGUCCAUGACGCCCUGAAAAAAUAAUCCAGUGACGAGAAAGAAGACUACGAUAAGACAGACUUGUGCACUUCCACAAGUCCUGCACCUGCACCAGUAUUGAAGGCCAUCUCAGUUGGAGGGAGGACCACCAGCCAUUCCUACUGGUAUUGAGAAGGAUCAAGGGCAGGAUCGACAAAUUCUUUGUGGUUGAAGCACCUCAUCUCUUCUGAAGGAACCAGCUCCUUGAAUGCUAUCGAACUUUAAGUCUACUGUUUCUACCUGCUGUAUAUGUAGGUCCUUUAUCUUUAUCUUCCUGCUACACUCUACAACACUGAUGUUGGUCUUACCAGUGAGUCUCCCAAAGUAAAGGAAUUGCAUGUGAAGCAUUGACAAACUUUUGACAACAUUUUUUCGGAGCAUCAUGUAUUUAAAGUACAGAUAUUGGAAGCAGAGUACGUUUAACUGCUAACAUUUUGAAGUUGAAGUUUGGAGUUCACAUGGGUGAAUUUGAUGAUGAAUUUGUUUCAACUGUUAUGUCUAAGACGUAUCAUUGUUGAAAAUAAAGGUUCAAACUGAUACAAUGAAAUUGGCUGUUAUUUA